AUUGAACGCUGGCGGCAGGCCUAACACAUGCAAGUCGAGCGGAUGAAGGGAGCUUGCUCCUGGAUUCAGCGGCGGACGGGUGAGUAAUGCCUAGGAAUCUGCCUGGUAGUGGGGGAUAACGUCCGGAAACGGGCGCUAAUACCGCAUACGUCCUGAGGGAGAAAGUGGGGGAUCUUCGGAUCUCACGCUAUCAGAUGAGCCUAGGUCGGAUUAGCUAGUUGGUGGGGUAAAGGCCUACCAAGGCGACGAUCCGUAACUGGUCUGAGAGGAUGAUCAGUCGCACUGGAACUGAGACACGGUCCAGACUCCUACGGGAGGCAGCAGUGGGGAAUAUUGGACAAUGGGCGAAAGCCUGAUCCAGCCAUGCCGCGUGUGUGAAGAAGGUCUUCGGAUUGUAAAGCACUUUAAGUUGGGAGGAAGGGCAGUAAGUUAAUACCUUGCUGUUUUGACGUUACCAACAGAAUAAGCACCGGCUAACUUCGUG
rnacentral:rRNA from 1 species